GCCUCCUUAGCUCAGUGGUAGAGCAACGCACUUGUAAUGCGUAGGUCGUCAGUUCAAUCCUGACAGGGGGCUCCA
rnacentral:tRNA from 1 species